UCGUGCUAGAUGGGGAAUUAGCGGUGCCCUGUAACCUGCAAUCCGCUAUAGCAGGAUCGAUGUCGCCACCAGGUCACAACUGAACAGUUCUUUUAUUCUAAGUGAUGAUGAUAUUUCAAACUGUAGCAAUGAAUGUCUGGCGAACCCCGUCAGGCCUGGAAGGGAGCAGCGGUAAACUAUGAUAUCCAUGUGCUUGCAGUCUACUGAGAUUGAAUUGGCUGGUUUAUUAUGAAAUGGAAACAGGGUGAUCAAAUGGCGGUGCACGG
rnacentral:SRP_RNA from 1 species